rnacentral:misc_RNA from 1 species
AACGCACAUUGCGCCCGGUGGUAUUCCGCCGGGCAUGCCUGUUCGAGCGCCUCUAUCAGCCCGCAAGCCUCGGCUUGGUAUUGGGGAUUGCAGGUCACCUGCAGCCCUAAAUCUCAAUAGCGAUACCAGGUGGUUCUAAGCGUAGUACAUACCCCGCUACAGGACUCUCCUGGUCUUCUGCCGUAAAUGGUGCAAGCCCAUUCUAAGGUUGACCUCGGAUCAAGUAGGGAUACCCGCUGAACUUAA